rnacentral:rRNA from 1 species
UACAGAGGUCUCAAGCGUUGUUCGGAUUCAUUGGGCGUAAAGAGCGUGUAGGCGGCCAGAUAAGUCCGCUGUGAAAUCUCGAGGCUCAACUUCGAGCUGUCGGUGGAAACUGUCUGGCUAGAGUCCGGAAGAGGAGAAUGGAAUUCCUGGUGUAGCGGUGAAAUGCGCAGGUAUCAGGAGGAACACCGGUGGCGAAGGCGGUUCUCUGGGACGGUACUGACGCUGGAGACGCGAAAGCGUGGGGAGCGAACAGGAUAGAU